rnacentral:rRNA from 1 species
CCUACGGGUGGCAGCAGUGAGGAAUAUUGGUCAAUGGACGAGAGUCUGAACCAGCCAAGUAGCGUGAAGGAUGACUGCCCUCUGGGUUGUAAACUUCUUUUAUAAAGGAAUAAAACGAGGCACGUGUGCCUUUUUGCAUGUACUUUAUGAAUAAGGAUCGGCUAACUCGGUGCCAGCAGCCGCGGUAAUACGGAGGAUCCGAGCGUUAUCCGGAUGUUUGGGGUUUAAAGGGAGCGUAGAUGGGUUGUUAAGACAGUAGUGAAAGUUUGGGGCUCAACCGUAAGAUUGCAAUUGAUACUGGCAGUCUUGAGUACAGGUGAGGUAAGCGGAAUUCGUGGUGUAGCGGUGAAAUGCUGAGAUAUCACGAAGAACCCCGAUUGCGAAGGCAGCUUACUAAACUGUGACUGACAUUGAGGCUCGAAAGUGUGGGUAUCAAACAGGAUUAGAUACCCGUGUAGUC